rnacentral:rRNA from 1 species
UAUCAGGUAGUAGUGGGUGUGGCGUACCUACUAGCCUACGACGGGUACGGGUUGUGAGAGCAAGAGCCCGGAGAUGGAUUCUGAGACACGAAUCCAGGCCCCACGGGGUGCAGCAGGCGCGAAAACUUUACAAUGCCGGCAACGGCGAUAAGGGAACCUCGAGUGCCAGGUUACAAAUCUGGCUGUCGUGAUGCCUAAAAAGCAUUGCAUAGCAAGGGCCGGGCAAGACCGGUGCCAGCCGCCGCGGUAACACCGGCGGCUCGAGUGGUAACCGUUAUUAUUGGGUCUAAAGGGUCUGUAGCCGGCCGGAUAAGUCUCUUGGGAAAUCUGGCAGCUUAACUGUCAGGCUUUCAGGAGAUACUGUCUGGCUCGAGGCCGGGAGAGGUGAGAGGUACUUCAGGGGUAGGGGUGAAAUCUUGUAAUCCUUGAAGGACCACCAGUGGCGAAGGCGUCUCACCAGAACGGACCUGACGGCAAGGGACGAAAGCUAGGGGCACGAACCGGAUUAGAUACUCGGGUAGUCCUAGCCGUAAACGAUACUCGCUAGGUGUCGGCCACGGUGCGACCGUGGUCGGUGCCGUAGGGAAGCCGUGAAGCGAGCCACCUGGGAAGUACGGCCGCAAGGCUGAAACUUAAAGGAAUUGGCGGGGGAGCACCACAACGGGUGGAGCUUGCGGUUUAAUUGGAUUCAACGCCGGAAAUCUUACCGGGACCGACAGCGAUAUGAAGGCCAGGCUGAAGACUUUGCCGGAUUAGCUGAGAGGUGGUGCAUGGCCGUCGUCAGUUCGUACUGUGAAGCAUCCUGUUAAGUCAGGCAACGAGCGAGACCCACGCCCACAGUUGCCAGCGUACUCUCCGGAGUGACGGGUACACUGUGGGGACCGCCGCUGCUAAAGCGGAGGAAGGAAUGGGCAACGGUAGGUCAGUAUGCCCCGAAUAUCCCGGGCUACACGCGAGCUACAAUGGUUGGUACAAUGGGUAUCUACCCCGAAAGGGGAUGGAAAUCUCCUAAAACCAAUCUUAGUUCGGAUUGAGGGCUGCAACUCGCCCUCAUGAAGCUGGAAUCCGUAGUAAUCGCGUUUCAACAGAACGCGGUGAAUACGUCCCUGCUCCUUGCACACACCGCCCGUCAAACCACCCGAGUAGGGUCUGAAUGAGAGCGCUUCCUCAGGAGGCGUUCGAAUUUGGGCUUUGCAAGGGGGGUUAAGUCGUAACAAGGUA